AUGUGUGCCGAUGGACGUCAGUAUGUUGAGCCCAAGUUUAUGAAGCAACUGACAGAGAUGGGAUACAGUGAAAUGCUUGCAAUUCAUGCUCUUCAAGAAGCAAAUAACAGUGUCAGCGAUGCUAUCCAAUAUAUUCAGGAACACCCAGAAACCAAUUUUUUGUCCUCCAGAGAGGACAUCAUUCAGCAGGUAAAAUCUGUUGGACUGGAUGAAACUGCAGUCAAAGUAGCUCUAAAAAACACAAUGGCAACUAUCAGAAAGCCCUUAACGAUCUUCUCCAAAACGCACACACUUUUUUGUCAUGCGGAAUGAACGGGUCAUGCUCAUUCUGGGACAGCCAAAACGAUGAGGAAGAGUUGGAGAAGGAGAAAGAAGCUAUCAGUAGAAUUGCUGAUGAUUUGAAUGUUGAGGCUGAGGAUCAUUUAGACCUAACGUUAAUUCAAGAAGAGCAGUUUCUCAGGAAGUAUUUAGAUUUACUACAGUAAAUUGCUCAGAGUGGAACCGUUUAAUGGCUGUGAAAGGAGUUAUCAGUUCUUCUCAUUCCUAUUCCAGUUUUAUCUCAUCAUAACGUUUCUCAUGACAACAUUUUCCGGGAAACAGAAUUCAUUGUUUCAAAGCCCUGCCAAGCAUUUUUGAUUAAGUGCCACUCAAAAUUAAGUUUUUCUGGAGACAUCGUUCUACUUUCAAUUCUCCUUCAAAAACGUUUUGACGAGAUAUGACUGUAUUUACUUUUCUGCAGCCAUUUUCAGGUAAACAUUUCUGAAGUGGAAAUAUUUUGUUGGAGAUUUUUUAGUGUUAUACUUGGAUCGUAUCAUUGUGUGCUAUUUUUUUAAUAUUGAAAUUGUUUGUUUUUUUCCUGUAUAUUUUAUUAACUCAUUUGUAUGCAAAUACAUUUCUUUCAAGCAUAUUACAGUCUUGAGUUUAAUAUUUCAGGUGAUAACCUCAUUUAUCUGUACUUGCAUCAUUGAAAAGACACGUUUGUAUUUCUAGCCAGCAACUAACUGGCAGCUUUUGGAGUUUAAGACUACCGUACUCAGGAAAAGCGUAGCAGGAGCAUUCAGGCAUUGCCAAAUUUUGUUUUAUGAGAAAUUUUUUUUUAUAAAACUUGUGAAUAUUUUGGGAAUAUACAGAGUGAUCCAGACCACCCGUCCACUAUCUUUUUCUCGAUAACGGCGGAGAAUUGAGACUCGGGUCAAAACUUUCAUGGGUAAAUCGACCCCAAAGAAUCGAAUGAAAAUAUUUUCAGCCCCCAAAAUGGCCCCUUGGGUUUUUUGGGGGGGGGGAGCCCCCUGUUUUUCGCAAUUUUCAAAUAGGAAGGGUACGUUUUGACUUUUGAUUCGGAAUCUACAGUAAAAAAUAAGAACAUUUACUCUUUGCACUUUUUCCCUCAACCCCCAUUAUUAUGUUAUGGGGUAGACUCUGAAAUCAGAGUUAUGGGCCGUUUUCGGGCCUUUUUGGGGCAAUUUUCAAUUCGAUGCUGUAAGCGGCUAAAUUUUCCAAAUUUUAAAAUCUCCUGAGAGGAGAGGUCAAUACCUUUUUAUUGAUGUGCCACAUGACCCCUGUUGCUCCAAAAUUUUGGGAGCCACGACCCCCCAAAAAUUUUGGGGCUUCGGAGGGCCGUAAGUCGAAAAUUUCAAAUGGCAAGGGCAUGUUUUGAUUUCAGAUUUGGAUUCUACGCGAAAAGUUACAUACUGUUUUCUCAAAUUUUUUUUGCCCCUUAGGUAUUUUCUCCAAAAGUACACGGCUUCAAAUGGGGAAAUGGGGUUCUUCAGUAAUUUGGAGCAACAGGGGUCAUGUGGCACAUCAAUAAAAAGGUACCUCUACUCUCAGGAGAUUUUUAGAUUUUGAAAUUUGGAUAAUUUGGCCGCUUACAGCAUCGAAUUGAAAAUUGCCCCCAAAAGGCCCGAAAAUGCCCCAUAACUCCAAAAAAUGGGGGUUUAGGGAAAAAGUGCAAAGAGUAAAAUGUUCUUAUUUUUUACCGUAGAUUCCGAAUCCAAAGUCAAAACAUACCUUUCCUAUUUGAAAAUUGCGAAAAACGGGGGGGCUCCCCCCCAAAAAACCAAUUUGGGGGGCUGAGAAUAUUUUCAUUCGAUUCUUUGGGGUCGAUUUACCUUAUGAAAGUUUUUGUCCUGAGGCUCAAUUCUCCGCCGUUUUCGAGAAAAAGAUAGUGGACGGGUGGUCUGGAUCACCCUGUAUUUGACAUUUUGGGGGGCUUUAAUUUGUAAUUCGAUCUGAAGUAUCUGAAAUUUUGAGGACUACUAAUCAUAACUUUUUGUAAAAAUAAAUGUUUUAUCAGGGAUAGCUGGCAACAAUCAAAUAUUCACAUUGCGUUUUUCCUUAAAGAGCACAAUAUUCCUUAGCUGAUAUCAAUUGAGGCUCCUUUUUGUAAACGUGUUGAUCGAUGAUCACGAAUAGGAGUUGUUACAGAUCAAGUUACAACAUUCGUAUUUUAGAAUCAUAAAGAUAGAGCUACAUAUACUGUUUUACCUAAAAGAAGAUUUGGUAGGAUCCUCUGGGAUCGUUUACUGAUUAACUGACUUUUUUUUGGCAAUGCCUCUUUCUCUGAGAAGGCAGGGAACCUCUAAGAAGGAUUGGUUGGUAAAGAUAACAAUUAAAACAUAGUGUUUGACUAAUCCAAAAUUUGUAAUUACUUACAUGACUUUAUUUACAAUGAGAGUUACAAAAAAUGGAUUAUUGUUGCCAAAGAUUUAACAAUUCAGCAAUAACAAUGGAUGUUUUCUAUGUUCACGGUAAAUAGAUCAUUCCAGGAAAUUUGAUUUGACACUGAGAGGGGGUCUAGUGGUUUCCAUCAAGAGGUCUUGUUAUUGCAGUAUGUGAUAACAACGAAAUAAAAACGAUUAUUUCCCGCAGACAAAUAAUUAUUAUGAACUAAGUAAGGUAAAAACAAU
rnacentral:lncRNA from 1 species